GGGGAUUUAGCUCAGUGGUUCCACCACCUGCCUGGAAAGCACAAGGUCCUGGGUUCAAUUCCCAGUACCUCCC
rnacentral:tRNA from 1 species